AUGCACUUUAAUCUGUGGAGCUUUGCUGUGGAGUAUCUCGCGCGCAGGAGUCACCUGACCCUCUUUCUCGCCGUCUUUCUACUGGCCUUCCUUACCAGACAGAAUAAUGGCCCCAUCCUGCAGAGCUGGAGUGUGAGUUUGUGUUGUGUGUGUUUGUGUGUUUCAGCUGGUCCCGCAGUGAAGCCCUCCGUGUCUCUGCUGCCUCCCUCUUCUCUGCAGAUCUCUGGAGACUCAGCCGCACUGCUCUGCCUGCUCAGCUCUUACUCUCCACAGGGGGCGCAGGUGAGCUGGACGCUGGACGGGUCAGAGGUCACCGAGGGGGUUCAGACCAGCGCAGAGAGCGAGCGGGACGGACGCUACAGCCGCAGCAGCGUCCUGAGCCUCAGCAAAGCACGCUGGGAAGACGGCGAGCGCUUCGUCUGCAGAGUAACACAUGACGGAGCUGAUCACGAGACCUCGUUCCUCAAGAGCUCCGAGUGCUGAUGUUUCUCCAGUGAAGAGCAGCAGGAUUCACAGCAGUCACCUGAUUUACAGCUCAAUACUCAAGCAGUCUUUCAAUGUGCUGCCAUUGCUGUUCAUUCAAUAAAGCUUCUGAACGCCUUACAUUUGUGUUCGACUGCAUCAUUGAUCAGUGUGUCCUUCCUUCACUAAAGUUUCAGCUGCUGUUGAUGGAUUGUAAUAGUUGAGAACAGCUGCGUUUAGCAGUAAAUGUGAACUGAAGCUCUUGGGGUUUGAACAUGGUCUCUGGAGACGGAGCUGCUCUAUUCUGAGACGAUCAGAAUCACUAAAGCUGCCAAUGCAAACCUGAUUUUCAGCUCAAACUCACAGUUUCACUGUUUGAUUGGUUCAACGCUCUGAACUGAAACAGUUUCACUUCUGCUCACGAGAAAUGAGUUAUGAGUCAUAAAUUCAUCAUCAGCUUGAGAUGAAGGAGCUACUUCAGAAACUGUUAAAAAACAUAUU